rnacentral:rRNA from 1 species
UCAGCGACUUAUAUUCUGUAGCAAGGUUAACCGAAUAGGGGAGCCGAAGGGAAACCGAGUCUUAACUGGGCGUUAAGUUGCAGGGUAUAGACCCGAAACCCGGUGAUCUAGCCAUGGGCAGGUUGAAGGUUGGGUAACACUAACUGGAGGACCGAACCGACUAAUGUUGAAAAAUUAGCGGAUGACUUGUGGCUGGGGGUGAAAGGCCAAUCAAACCGGGAGAUAGCUGGUUCUCCCCGAAAGCUAUUUAGGUAGCGCCUCGUGAAUUCAUCUCCGGGGGUAGAGCACUGUUUCGGCAAGGGGGUCAUCCCGACUUACCAACCCGAUGCAAACUGCGAAUACCGGAGAAUGUUAUCACGGGAGACACACGGCGGGUGCUAACGUCCGUCGUGAAGAGGGAAACAACCCAGACCGCCAGCUAAGGUCCCAAAGUCAUGGUUAAGUGGGAAACGAUGUGGGAAGGCCCAGACAGCCAGGAUGUUGGCUUAGAAGCAGCCAUCAUUUAAAGAAAGCGUAAUAGCUCACUGGUCGAGU